CUCAACCAUGUACAAAUUAAAAUUUUCUGGGUGGAAAAAGCAUAACCAAAAUCAAAAGACAAAUGACAAACUGGGAGUCUUAAGUUAAUGGACACAUUGGCCAUUUCAGUCUUUUUCUGCUGCAAACAGUGACACUAAAACUCUCCAUCUGCAGCUGUCACUUCACGGAUUUCCAAGGACACCUGUCGGGUAAAGCACUGCAGCAUGGACAGCGGGUGGAAGGCAGGGCAGGGGCAGUAUAAUUUGAGUGGACAUUGCUGACUUGUCUCCUGCCUGUUUUUCUACAUCCUUGCCAAAACAAUGAUAGCAAACUUUAAUUUUUCCUACUCUAGUAAGUGAGUAAUUGCGGCUGGUCUGAUGUGCGCUGGCUCUGACUCUGGGGACGGAGCCCACCUAGGCAGGCACAAUGGGCGGCUGCCAGGAGCCACCCUUCCCCCGCUGCUUUUGGGAGCCUCCAGCAAAGAGGGUGGACCUGCCCAAGGCCGCUUUCUCGGUGUCCCCUGCAGCUGAGCCCUGAGGAGACACCUGUGGAGGGGGACCCACCUUCCUGUGGACACCAAACGUGGACGGCAGAUGGCUCUGGGAGAGGCAGGCAGAGGGUGACGCCCGGGCCCCCUUGGCUCUGUCCUCACGACCCUGCCCCGAGGCGGGAGGAGACCUGCCUUCCACUGGACUGUCUCUACUUCCCACCAGCCUUGUCCACUGAAAAUGCCCAAAGCAGUCUUAGCUCAUUGGCAGUAGCGCCCCUGGAAAGAGACAUGGGACACGUGUGCUGUGGCCACACGCCUACAGUUGAGAAUCAAUCAACCGGAGUUCUCAUUUGCCAGCAACAGGACUCCACACCGCACUCAACACAGGGGGGCUUUGUUGGUGCGUGUUCUCGAUGGCGGAGCCAGAACUAGGCUUGGACACAGAUGGGGGGCCUGGGCACAGGGAACACAGCUGGGGCCCAGCAGACCUGCCCCUUCUGUGAUGAACUGGACAUCCAGUUGUGUCCACUUCCUUAAACCUGCAUGUAAGCCCCAUGGGAGCAUCUGAUUUGCCUCACCUGGGGUAAGUGUUGUCCCCAUGGUGAAUGGGGUGGGAGGGGAAGAUCUCCAGCAGCAGGCGUGAUGAAAGAAUAUCCAAAAAGGAGAUGGGGCUGCAGGUAGGAAGGCACACAGAUGACCACUAAAAAUGUAAUUUCAUCGAGGUUCUGCUUAGAAAAGAAACAACCAAAAAUUGAAGGUGAACAUAACUUAAGACCCAGCAAUCCCAUUCUAAAUGUCUAUAUACUGAGUGUCUAAACACUAAGAAGUCUCCCACCUGUGUGCAAAGAGACGUUAGCAAGGAUGUUGAUUGUAGUAAUGGAGUAAGAGUGGGAAAAAGAGGGAACUUAAAUGUCAUCAAGAAGAAUGUGAUCUAUUCACAUAGUGAAAUACUAUUACCAGUUAAAUGAACUAAAACGAUGUGUCAACUUGAAUAAAUUUUGACUGUGUAAAUGAGUGAAAAGGUCAAAUGUACACUAUGGUAGCAUUUAUAUAAAGUUUAGAAACAUACAAAGCCGUGUAAGCAUGUAUAUAUUUUCAGAAUAUGUUUAUAUGCAGCAUAGGUAUAAAAACCUGGAUGGAGAGGAACGGACCGAUGUCCAGAGACAGUUCUCCGACCUUCUACACGUCAGCACGUCUUGCAGGCGAGGCCCUGCCUGCCUUGUGUUCUGCACUAUCUUUAGAAGGAUGUUCGUGUAGGUAACAGACUUGGGAGACAGAGAUGUGUAUCCUUCAGCUCCUCUCCUGUAACACAGCCCGCUAUGCUGGCAGGUGCCAUCUGGCCCUCUUGGCAUGGCCCUGUGAGAAUUGGGGCUCAGAAUAUUGGUGCAAAAAUGCUAAUACUGCUAUUGCUGUGGGUAAUGAAUGGUCCCUUGUCUCUGACCCUGGAGUUGCAUGCCUUCUGCCAGCAUCCAAGACACUGUAACAGGCGAUAUUAUCAGCUUACAAAUGGGGGAAAUUUUCAGAUUCUUCAUAACUCUUGACAAUUACCUUCAGGCUAAGCGUUGUCUCUAGGAAGGGAGGAAGGGGCCUCGAAUAAGAGAGGGGUCAAAGGGAGGCUGUACAUUUCAUUUCUCAAGAAAAAGCUCUGAAACAAACAUGGCCAUGUGAUAGUAUAUA